CCCCGGCCGUCGCACCUGUUGUCCUCCCCUCUAAGACGGCCCUGGGCCCUGUCUAUGUGCUUCUGUGUCAUUUGCCACUCUGUUUCCACCGCCAGUACUGUGCUGCUAUGUUCCUCGUCUCUGUCGCCUCCUCUCAUCGACUGUGCUUCUUGGUUUGUAUGUUCUCUUCCUAUUUCCAUUCCUAUUGCAUUGGUUGUUUAUGAUCUGUCUAGGGUUUGCUGAUCCUUCUCGUAUUUACUGGUGUUUGGCUGCGCAAACUGUAUAUUGGCUUCUUAGUCGGCCGCAGAUCUGGUUGCGUUCCUUGUUGUUUGAGGAGACUACAUUAUUUAUGUUAUUAUAUCUUUAAUGAAUUGUUUUAGGCAACGGGCUACAGUUUCCUUAAACAUUGACUACGCUAUGUUUAGCAACUUUCGUAUAUUCUUGACAUAUUUUGUGCUUCGUUAUAGGUAUAUUUGUUUUCCAAGUAGAUAUGGUAGUUUCGUGGCUUUAUUACAAAUAUUGUAGAUUUUACCUUCACGAUUUGUAGAGAUUAAAGCUAUUUCCUCUGCUUUGCUUUGCUCAGAUGCUGAUGGAGUAAUUUUUCGUUCCUUUCUGCGUGUCGCUACCUUCGUGCCACUGCUGCUUAGUCUACGGUGAUUUGCGCGCUCACCACUAUGAUGACACUUUGCUUUCUUUAUUAUUUAUGUUAAGUUAUUGUGUGAUGCCUCUUAUGCGAAACUUGAUUUACGUACCGUUUGUGUCCGUUAGUUGAUGCAACCCAUAUGCUAACAUUUAUGUGUGCAAUUUUAUGAAUUUUUUGCUUGCAAAAUCAAACAAUUUUGCCUCAGAAACAGAGUUACGAGAACAACAAGUUCCCAUCUCGGGCUAAGCAAGGAAAGAAAAUAAAGCUCAUACAUACAUACAUACGAUGUCUAAAGGGCAAACCAGGAUGGACACCACGCUUUCAACCAGCUGAUAGGGACUUCACCUUGUACUAUGUACGGAGCGAGACUUACGGAUGGAUGAUUGCACCGAUCCUCGCUGGGCUCGAUUAUUUAUGGGCCGGGCCGGAAUCGAACGAGCAGAACGCCAAGUCAACGCACCCAGUUCCGACCAGGACGAGCAACAACAAAGCGUAGGUAGAGGCAGAGCAGCCGCCCGAUUCCAUCAUCUCAUCCGCGUUGCGUUGCCCAGCCACUCCUCCAAUCCCGUCCAGGUGCACUUCCAAACGAAGACAAGACACGAGAAAUCCAGAUCUACUGCUGCUCUGCUAGGGUAACAGCGGCGAGGGGAGUUUGUAGCGACACCGAUGUCGCCGCAUCAGAUCCGAUGGUGCGUCGCCGGAGCAGAGAAAGUGGCCGGAGCCGGAGCCUGAGCAUGGGCUGGCCUGCGUGCUGCCUCGGCUUCCUCCUCAAGCUGCUCGCCUUCCUCCAUGCCUUCACCGCCGUCUCCGCCCUCCUCUACGCCGCAUGGAUGCUCUCGCGCUAGGCGCGCCACCACCAGCUCCACCUCAGCGACCUCCUAAGCCCGGACCUCUGGUUCCCGUCGCUCGUCAUGGCGGCCCUCCGCUUUGUACAUCUGCACUACACUUUCUUCUUUUCUCAUUUUUAUUAUUCGUUCUUUGUUUUCUGUUGGGAUUGAAACUCUCGUGCUGGACUCAAAUUCGUUCUCUGUUUCUGUUGGGAUUGAAACUCCUGUGCGGGGUAGUUUACGGACAGAGAUAUUAUAUAUAUCUAUAUGGACAUGUCGGAUGGAACGGAUAGAACGUCCGGCAGACUCAAAUUUUCAUCUUUAAAUAUUAGGGAGGGAUAGAUUACCCUUCCAUA